rnacentral:tRNA from 1 species
GUUCUCCUGAAUCAGUAUGACGUAAUCUGCCUUCUCAGCAGAGGGUCGGGAGUUCGAGUCUCCCCGGGCGCGCCA